UACGUAGGGCGCAAGCGUUGUCCGGAAUUAUUGGGCGUAAAGAGCUCGUAGGCGGCUUGUCACGUCGGGUGUGAAAGCCCGGGGCUUAACCCCGGGUCUGCAUUCGAUACGGGCAGGCUAGAGUGUGGUAGGGGAGAUCGGAAUUCCUGGUGUAGCGGUGAAAUGCGCAGAUAUCAGGAGGAACACCGGUGGCGAAGGCGGGUCUCUGGGCCGACACUGACGCUGAGGAGCGAAAGCGUGGGGAGCGAACAGG
rnacentral:rRNA from 1 species